GUUUAAGUGUCGGACCGUUGUGUACUGACUAGCUGUGCUGAGGUCUCGCCUCUUUCUCUUUCUGUCUCAUUCAGCAGCAGGUCAGGACGGAGGCAGCAGCUCUUUGUCCACUGCUCUUGUUGGAUUCACUGGAGUCUGGAUCUGCUGAAGUCUCUCUCACAGUGACCCCCAGGAGGUCACCGUUCUUUAAAUUCCACAGCUUUUCUGUGAGCUGUGAGGUCGAGGAGCAGAACCAGGACGAGGACAGUGGCCGGUGGUGAUGAAGAGGACGCGAACGGAGAGGUUGGUGAUGAGCUGAGAGGAGCUCCGGCCUCAGACGCUGCCUCUGACUCCACUGACUGUGUGGCAGGUGCAGCCGUGCCCGGGCCCUGCAGCGUCCCCUCCACAGACAGCGGGGAGUACUGGUGCGACCCGGCAGGAAGCCAGCAGCACCUGGAUCAGCUGGUUCUGUGAUCCGGACGGGCCCGUGCUUCCUGUGCUGCAGCAGCAGGGCUUCACUGUCAGCCUGCAGCCCCGGGGCCGAGUUCUACAAAGACGGGGUCCUCAUCAGAACCUCCUCCACAGGAAACGUGACCGUGGCCGGUGUUUCUCCAUCGCACGCAGGCGCCUACGAGUGCAGCGUCGCCGGAGAGCUGGCUGCGCGUCAGAGGUGAGCAGGUGUCAGCGAAAGCCGUGUGUACGCUUCAGAGCUGCCGCUGACACACCUGCGCCCCCUGCUGGUGGGAGGUCUUCACCUGACGCCCCCGUUUUACUAGCGCUCGUAUAGAGACACAGGAGGAGCGCGCAGCAGGAGCUGAGGCGCAGAUCUGAUGGAGGCGUCAUGCAAACAGUCUAAGGACCAUCAACCGUGACAGUUUCAGCCUUCGGGGGCAUGUGACCUCACUUCCUGUCUGUGUGUGACAUCACUUCCUGUCUGUGUGUGACCUCACUUCCUGUCUGUGUGUGAAUCACUUCCUGUCUGCAUGUGACCUCACUUCCUGUCUGUGUGUGAAUCACUUCCUGUCUGCUCAUGUGGAUCACCUGCUGACAGACCCUCCUCCACUCAUCACCCUGUGGGUUUCCUGGUUCUGCUGUGGUUCCUGUUUGUCCUCUUUUGGUGCUGGGAGGGUUCAUCAUUGGAUUUCUGCUUGGUUCUGUGACUUCCUGAGUUUCUUUGGAUCUGUCACUAGUUUUUGCUGCAUGAGCUGUGAUUUUAGUUCAUACCUUUGAUCUGAACUCUGUUCUGUCAUGCAGGGAUUCAUAGUUUGGCAAUGAUUGUAUUUCUAGUCUUUUACUUCAUUAAAUGAUUUAUUUUGCACAGUCCUGUGCGUCCUGUUAUCGGUCUGGCCUCAUCUGGACUUUAUAAAGGUACAAAGGUAAAGACAGGUGGUUGGAGAGUCUUAUUUUACAACACCAUGGAAUCAGUUUUUAUAUGAACUCUGACUCUGCUGCUUUAAAAAACACCUGGACAAAGUGUUCAGUGUUUGUGUGGGUCUGACAGGAAGGAGGCGGUGGAGCUGUGUCUGUUUCAGUGACACACUUGUUCCAGUCACUGUAAGUUACUGGCUCCGUCCUGGUGCCACUGAGCCGCUGACCUGCACUGAUGAAGGAGAGGCAGAUGAGCCCAGCGUGUGCUACAGAACGUCGUCAGCCAUUCUGAGCAGCUUCUACUGUAUGA